rnacentral:rRNA from 1 species
AGAGUUUGAUCAUGGCUCAGGAUGAACGCUGGCGGCGUGCCUAAUACAUGCAAGUCGAACGCUUUGUGCUUAAUUGAUAUGAUGAGCUUGCUCUGAUUUGAUUUUUUGAUUUCAAAGAGUGGCGAACGGGUGAGUAACACGUGGGUAACCUACCUCUUAGCAGGGGAUAACAUUUGGAAACAAGUGCUAAUACCGUAUAAUACCAACAACCGCAUGGUUGUUGGUUGAAAGAUGGUUCUGCUAUCACUAAGAGAUGAACCCGCGGUGCAUUAGCUAGUUGGUAAGGUAAUGGCUUACCAAGGCAAUGAUGCAUAGCCGAGUUGAGAGACUGAUCGGCCACAAUGGGACUGAGACACGGCCCAUACUCCUACGGGAGGCAGCAGUAGGGAAUCUUCCACAAUGGGCGCAAGCCUGAUGGAGCAACGCCGCGUGUGUGAUGAAGGGUUUCGGCUCGUAAAACACUGUUAUAAGAGAAGAACGGCACUGAGAGUAACUGUUCAGUGUGUGACGGUAUCUUACCAGAAAGGAACGGCUAAAUACGUGCCAGCAGCCGCGGUAAUACGUAUGUUCCAAGCGUUAUCCGGAUUUAUUGGGCGUAAAGCGAGCGCAGACGGUUAUUUAAGUCUGAAGUGAAAGCCCUCAGCUCAACUGAGGAAUUGCUUUGGAAACUGGAUGACUUGAGUGCAGUAGAGGAAAGUGGAACUCCAUGUGUAGCGGUGAAAUGCGUAGAUAUAUGGAAGAACACCAGUGGCGAAGGCGGCUUUCUGGACUGUAACUGACGUUGAGGCUCGAAAGUGUGGGUAGCAAACAGGAUUAGAUACCCUGGUAGUCCACACCGUAGACGAUGAGUGCUAGAUGUUCGAGGGUUUCCGCCCUUGAGUGUCGCAGCU